rnacentral:tRNA from 1 species
GCGGGCGUAGCUCAAUGGUAGAGCCCCAGCCUUCCAAGCUGGCGGUGCGGGUUCGAUUCCCGUCGCCCGCU